rnacentral:rRNA from 1 species
GAUGAACGCUGGCGGCGUGCCUAAUACAUGCAAGUAGAACGCUGAAGCUUGGUGCUUGCACCGAGCGGAUGAGUUGCGAACGGGUGAGUAACGCGUAGGUAACCUGCCUCUUAGCGGGGGAUAACUAUUGGAAACGAUAGCUAAUACCGCAUAAAAGUCGACAUCGCAUGAUGUUGACUUGAAAGGUGCAAUUGCAUCACUAAGAGAUGGACCUGCGUUGUAUUAGCUAGUUGGUGAGGUAACGGCUCACCAAGGCGACGAUACAUAGCCGACCUGAGAGGGUGAUCGGCCACACUGGGACUGAGACACGGCCCAGACUCCUACGGGAGGCAGCAGUAGGGAAUCUUCGGCAAUGGGGGCAACCCUGACCGAGCAACGCCGCGUGAGUGAAGAAGGUUUUCGGAUCGUAAAGCUCUGUUGUAAGAGAAGAACGAGUGUGAGAGUGGAAAGUUCACACUGUGACG